CAAUGAGAAUUGCCAUCAUUCAACUUGGAACUCAAAGUCCUGAGCACACUCAGUGAUUCUGAGAGAUGAUCUAUCCCAGCAUAUGACCUACAAGCCCUGAUUCCAUAAACUGGAGAGUCAUUAGAAGUACCAAAGAAAUGUUUCAACCUUGAAAUAGACUGACAAGAGGCUCUUCAGAAGGGACUCCUCCAAUACCGUGGGCCUUCUUUAGCAGAGCGACGUGAAAUAGGAGGUUGUCAACAACGGGCGCUAUUGCACUCCGUGAAACAAGUGUGUUCCUAAAUGUGUACAGAUUAUACCUUAUUUUAAAAGUCACAGUCUGUAAAUGUUCUCUGGUUAAAUUUGAUAUUUGGUAUUUGUUCCUAAUACUUCACCUGUAAGUUUCUGUCUACUAUUUCAAUGUUUCCAUUUGUUCAAACCCUGACCCCAAUUGAUUAGUGAUCAAUAAACCAAUAUUUAAA